UACGGGGGGAGCAAGCGUUGUUCGGAUUUACUGGGCGUAAAGGGCGCGUAGGCGGCCAGCACAAGUCAGUUGUGAAAUCUCCGAGCUUAACUCGGAAAGGUCAACUGAUACUGUGCGGCUAGAGUGUGGUAGGGGAGAUCGGAAUUCCUGGUGUAGCGGUGAAAUGCGCAGAUAUCAGGAGGAACACCGGUGGCGAAGGCGGAUCUCUGGGCCAUUACUGACGCUGAGGAGCGAAAGCUUGGGGAGCGAACAGG
rnacentral:rRNA from 1 species